rnacentral:rRNA from 1 species
UACGUAGGGUGCAAGCGUUGUCCGGAAUUAUUGGGGCGUAAAGGGCUCGUAGGCGGUCUGUCGCGUCAGGAGUGAAAACUCGGGGCUUAACCCCGAGCCUGCUUCUGAUACGGGCAGACUAGAGGUAUGCAGGGGAGAACGGAAUUCCUGGUGUAGCGGUGAAAUGCGCAGAUAUCAGGAGGAACACCGGUGGCGAAGGCGGUUCUCUGGGCAUUACCUG